rnacentral:rRNA from 1 species
UUGAACGCUGGCGGCAUGCUUUACACAUGCAAGUCGAACGGCAGCACGGGGGCAACCCUGGUGGCGAGUGGCGAACGGGUGAGUAAUGCAUCGGAACGUACCCAGUCGUGGGGGAUAACGCAGCGAAAGUUGUGCUAAUACCGCAUACGACCCGAGGGUGAAAGCGGGGGACCGUAAGGCCUCGCGCGAUUGGAGCGGCCGAUGUCUGAUUAGCUAGUUGGUGGGGUAAAGGCCCACCAAGGCGACGAUCAGUAGCGGGUCUGAGAGGAUGAUCCGCCACACUGGGACUGAGACACGGCCCAGACUCCUACGGGAGGCAGCAGUGGGGAAUUUUGGACAAUGGGGGCAACCCUGAUCCAGCCAUGCCGCGUGCGGGAAGAAGGCCUUCGGGUUGUAAACCGCUUUCGGACGGAAAGAAAUCGCAUGGACUAAUACUCUGUGUGGAUGACGGUACCGUAAGAAGAAGCACCGGCUAACUACGU